UACGUAGGGUCCGAGCGUUGUCCGGAAUUACUGGGCGUAAAGAGCUCGUAGGUGGUUUGUCGCGUUGUCCGUGAAAACUCACAGCUUAACUGUGGGCGUGCGGGCGAUACGGGCAGACUGGAGUACUGCAGGGGAGACUGGAAUUCCCGGUGUAGCGGUGGAAUGCGCAGAUAUCAGGAGGAACACCGGUGGCGAAGGCGGGUCUCUGGGCAGUAACUGACGCUGAGGAGCGAAAGCGUGGGGAGCGAACAGG
rnacentral:rRNA from 1 species